UUACAAAAUAUUAUAUCUAGUGGCCAUGAAAGCCAUUUUCUUUAAAACUAUUAAAAUUCCAAAAAUAUUGUAUUUUUCAUCCUAAUAUUCAUAACAAUGUUAGAAAUGCUAUUGACAAUGCAAUCAACUUGGGCCCAUUUUAUUAUAAUAGCUAAUAGAGGGUGCUUCUUCUCUAUUCAAAUAUAGAUAUUAACAAUCAUAUCUAUAAAUUAAAAAUCAGAUUAUAAAAUAAAAGUGAAUAUACUAUUUGAUUAAGUGAAAAGAAUUUUAACCUUUCUUUAAUUGAAGUUAUAUUUAUAUAAAACAAAGCUUUGCAAUCCUAAUUAAAAUAAGAUAUAAGUUGAAUAGUUAGUGAAUCUAAGUGGACUUAUCUUUGUACUUAAGAAAUUGGUCAUGGCCUCCACUUAUAUAGACUUUGAUUGGUAUUUAG
rnacentral:lncRNA from 1 species